rnacentral:RNase_P_RNA from 1 species
CGAGCGAACUACACGGUCGCGGCGCGCUUCACUGCGCGAUGAGGAAAGUCCGGGCAUCACAGGGCAGGACGCCUGAUAACGUCAGGUAAAGGCGACUUUAAGGAAAGUGCAACAGAAAUAGACCGCUGCCAAAGCGCAGUAAGGAUGGAAAGGCGAGGUAAGAGCUCACCGACGGGACGGUAACGCCCCGUGCCAUGUAAACCCCGUCCGAUGCAAGUUUGGGCUGUGUUCAAAUAGGGUGCCCGCCCGAGCAUAGCCGUGAAUAACGCUUG